rnacentral:tRNA from 1 species
GGAGAGGUGUCCGAGUGGUUUAAGGAGCCGGUCUUGAAAACCGGUGAUGCCCUAUGGCACCGUGGGUUCGAAUCCCACCCUCUCCGCCA